ensembl:snoRNA
CUGGCUCUGAUCAAAAGCAGUAGUUUGUAGUAACUGCUGGUUUUUUAAAGGGCCUAAAUUAACAUCCUUCCUGUGGUCUGUUGAUUUGUCCUCGCCUGUAAAAAGGAGCUAAUCAUUUCAGUUGGAAGGAACAAAA